rnacentral:rRNA from 1 species
AGUGAACGCUGGCGGUAGGCCUAACACAUGCAAGUCGAACGGCAGCACAGUAAGAGCUUGCUCUUACGGGUGGCGAGUGGCGGACGGGUGAGGAAUACAUCGGAAUCUACUUUUUCGUGGGGGAUAACGUAGGGAAACUUACGCUAAUACCGCAUACGACCUACGGGUGAAAGCCGGGGAUCUUCGGACCUUGCGCGAUUGAAUGAGCCGAUGUCGGAUUAGCUAGUUGGCGGGGUAAAGGCCCACCAAGGCGACGAUCCGUAGCUGGUCUGAGAGGAUGAUCGGCCACACUGGAACUGGGACACGGUCCAGACUCCUACGGGAGGCAGCAGUGGGGAAUAUUGGACAAUGGGCGCAAGCCUGAUCCAGCCAUACCGCGUGGGUGAAGAAGGCCUUCGGGUUGUAAAGCCCUUUUGUUGGGAAAGAAAAGCAGCAGGUUAAUACCCCGCUGUUCUGACGGUACCCAAAGAAUAAGCACCGGCUAACUUCGUG